rnacentral:rRNA from 1 species
AUUGAACGCUGGCGGCAUGCCUUACACAUGCAAGUCGAACGGUAACAGGUCUUCGGAUGCUGACGAGUGGCGAACGGGUGAGUAAUACAUCGGAACGUGCCUAGUAGUGGGGGAUAACUACUCGAAAGAGUGGCUAAUACCGCAUGAGAUCUACGGAUGAAAGCAGGGGAUCGCAAGACCUUGUGCUACUAGAGCGGCCGAUGGCAGAUUAGGUAGUUGGUGGGAUAAAAGCUUACCAAGCCAACGAUCUGUAGCUGGUCUGAGAGGACGAUCAGCCACACUGGGACUGAGACACGGCCCAGACUCCUACGGAAGGCAGCAGUGGGGAAUUUUGGACAAUGGGCGCAAGCCUGUUCCAGCAAUGCCGCGUGCAGGAUGAAGGCCUUCGGGUUGUAAACUGCUUUUGUACGGAACGAAAAGCCCUGGGUUAAUACCCUGGGGUCAUGACGGUACCGUAAGAAUAAGCACCGGCUAACUACGUGCCAGCCGCCGCAGUAA